rnacentral:sRNA from 1 species
AUUUAGCCCUGAUUGGAGAGGAAAGCUCCCGAUUUUUUUCGGGACUUGGAACGGAAAGCAGGAAUUGCC